rnacentral:piRNA from 1 species
ACAACAGAUAGAAAGAGUAGAACAU